rnacentral:rRNA from 1 species
AUUGAACGCUGGCGGCAUGCCUUACACAUGCAAGUCGAAACGGCAGCACGGGAGCAAUCCUGGUGGCGAGUGGCGAACGGGUGAGUAAUAUAUCGGAACGUGCCCAGUCGUGGGGAUAACGUAGCGAAAGCUACGCUAAUACCGCAUACGAUCUACGGAUGAAAGCGGGGGAUCGCAAGACCUCGCGCGAUUGGAGCGGCCGAUAUCAGAUUAGGUAGUUGGUGAGGUAAAGGCUCACCAAGCCGACGAUCUGUAGCUGGUCUGAGAGGACGACCAGCCACACUGGGACUGAGACACGGCCCAGACUCCUACGGGAGGCAGCAGUGGGGAAUUUUGGACAAGUGGGCGCAAGCCUGAUCCAGCGAAUGCCGCGUGCAGGAUGAAGGCCCUUCGGGUUGGUAAACCGUUAGUACGUUUUCGUUUAACGGGUAACCGGUAAAACGGGUACGGUAAGGG